UACGAAGGGGGCGAGCGUUGUUCGGAAUUACUGGGCGUAAAGGGCGCGUAGGCGGCCGAUCAAGUUAGAUGUGAAAGUCCUGGGCUUAACCUGGGGACUGCAUUUGAUACUGAUUGGCUUGAAUUCGGGAGAGGAUAGCGGAAUUCCCAGUGUAGAGGUGAAAUUCGUAGAUAUCGGGAGGAACACCAGUGGCGAAGGCGACUACCUGGCCUGUUCUUGACGCUGAGGCGGCGAAAAGCUAGGGGAGCAAAC
rnacentral:rRNA from 1 species